UGAGUGCCUAUACAGCUGUGUUACGCGCGGGGAUCGCAAAAGAAGAAAGCAGAUCCCACGGUGCUGCGUUAUCUCCGUCGGCUCUAUACUACGAUGUUUUGGUACGUUAGCGAUAUUCGAGUAGGCCGAUGUUACACCGACGAUAAAGCGGUUGGGUCGUCGCACGGCGGACAGACGACGUCGCGAAUAAAUAAAACGAGAGGACAGAGGAGAAAGAGGGAAAAAGAAUCGGCGAGAAGGGAAGAAAGGCAUAGAUAAAAAAUAAGAAACGAAAAAAGUAUACGUGUAUACGUGUGUAUAAAACGAAAAGAGAAAAAGUGAAACGGGGGAAAACGAAAGAGGCACGAGGCUAUUCAGUUUUACUCGACGACGCAGGAUUUCGGAUUCCUAUUUAUUGCAAUCGAAUCUUAUUUCACUUGCUCGACGUGCUCCCGCUGCCGCUGCUGGCUACGCCACGGAACCCAUCGGUGGCGGAAGAAAUGUCGGAGAGGAGCAAGGGAAAGGACCCUGCAAUCAAUUUUCGACAGGCUCCAAUACGUACGACCGGCGGUCCCGGCGCGGCAUCGAGACGAGGUGAGGCGAGGCGAGGAGGUCCGCCGCUAUAAAACUACGAGGUCGGGGAACACGAGCCCAGUAACAAAUCUCAGACUCGGAACAGAAACUCGAAGAACAAAAAGUACAACAAUUAUUAUGCGUCCUCAACUCACCCUCGUCACUCUCGCCCUUCUGGUUGUCGUUGCCGGUGUUUGGGCCCUUCCGAAUCCCGUUAGCGAGACUCCGCAGUCCAGAGACGACGCGGUUUCCGCGACGACCUCGCCGUCCACCGCGGCACCCGAAAGCAAAGCGGAAAGUGGUCGCAGACAGUCCGAUUGCAAGUGCACUUACAGCCCCGCGGAGCGCGAAGAAAAUCCUUCGCCGGCGUCGAUUGGAACCGUUCCAAGCAAAUAGUUAAUUCUCUCAGUCGCAUGCACGGGGCGGUGACGUGAGCCGAUUGAAAAAGGAGGCUGUGCCGGUCUGACGAGAAAUGCAAAUUUUGAAUCUACGGAGCUCCGACACCGAUGCGCCAAAGCAGUGUAAUAUCAGACAAUAAAUAAUGGGUGUACCAUGAA